CACGUAGGGCGCAAGCGUUGUCCGGAAUUAUUGGGCGUAAAGAGCUCGUAGGCGGUCUGUUGCGUCCGCUGUGAAAACUCGGGGCUUAACCCCCGAGCCUGCAGUGGAUACGGGCAGACUAGAGGUAGGUAGGGGAGAAUGGAAUUCCCGGUGUAGCGGUGAAAUGCGCAGAUAUCAGGAGGAACACCGGUGGCGAAGGCGGGACUCUGGGCCGAUACUGACGCUGAGGAGCGAAAGCGUGGGGAGCAAACAGG
rnacentral:rRNA from 1 species